UUAGUAGAAGCCAAAAUAGAGGCUUUUCAUUGUUAAUGAAAAAAAUGAUUGUUUAAUCCUACUAAA
rnacentral:tRNA from 1 species